UCUCCGUAGGUGAACCUGCGGAAGGAUCAUUAUUGUAUAACCGAGGUCCGAGGCCUGUCGCAAACCCCCAUCGUCGUGCACGCCCGAGUGCCCCCCCACACAUCCAUCCCACCCCUCUGUGCACCCCCGCGCGGGACCUCCUUUGGCUUGUUCGGAGGGGGGCUUUCUUUUUCUCACUAACUUUGUAUGCAAAGCAGACAGUAUCUUUUGUUUUUGUGAUCACGCAAACGAUACACCUUUCAACACGGGAUCUCUUGCCUCUCGCAUCCAUGAAGAACG
rnacentral:misc_RNA from 1 species